rnacentral:rRNA from 1 species
GAUAAACGCUGGCGGCGUGCUUAACACAUGCAAGUCGAACGAAGUUUUUCCUUCGGGAGAAACUUAGUGGCGGGCGGGUGAGUAACGCGUGGGUAACCUGCCCUGUACAGGGGGACAACAGCUGGAAACGGCUGCUAAUACCGCAUAAGCCCUUAGCACUGCAUGGUGCAUAGGGAAAAGGAGCAAUCCGGUACAGGAUGGACCCGCGUCUGAUUAGCCAGUUGGCAGGGUAACGGCCUACCAAAGCGACGAUCAGUAGCCGAUCUGAGAGGAUGUACGGCCACAUUGGGACUGAGACACGGCCCAGACUCCUACGGGAGGCAGCAGUGGGGAAUAUUGCACAAUGGAGGAAACUCUGAUGCAGCGACGCCGCGUGAGUGAAGAAGUAUUUCGGUAUGUAAAGCUCUAUCAGCAGGGAAGAAAAUGACGGUACCUGACUAAGAAGCACCGGCUAAAUACGUG